ACUUUCCAGGGAUUGGGUUUCAUUUUAAUUUCGUAUACGCUGUGUAUUCCGAUGUUCCUUAAUUUGUAUUCAACUUUCAUGUUUCUACAAUUCACUUUUUAAAAUUGUUGGUCAUUUGUCGCAUACUAGUAUUGGAAUGUUUAUUAUGAUUGUUGUUAGUGUGGUUUUGCUUCUGCUUGGCAGUGAACGAAUCCAAGCCGGCAAGGAGAGCACAUGUAAGUACCCCUUCAGGACACUGGGCGACAACUGUUACUAUUUCAGUACAGACAAGGCCACCUGGGACGAGGCUUAUGUAAACUGUGUUCACAAAGGUGGAUAUUUGGCGAACUUGGAAACUCUUCAUGAAUACCUAAUUAUUAGGUAAUCUCUCCGGGAUAAAAAAUGGUCAGAAUUACGCCAUUGGAGGACGGGAUUUUAAUCGCGAGAAGAAGGGUGGAGACUGGAGGUGGGUCAGAUACGAUCGGGUUUCUAAGAUGUCCUUCUUUGCAUUUGCCCCAAGUGAACCCAGUAGUAGCAAAACUUAUCCGCAGCUCUGUUUAUGGUUACACGCUAGCUAUAAAUAUCAGUUCUUUGACCAGUAUUGUACCUCUGUCGCGCGAUACAUUUGUGAAAAAUAAAGAUCUUUAACAGUGAA